rnacentral:lncRNA from 1 species
CCAGGGAGUCGAUUGGGAAUUACUGACCGAUAAUCGGAUGAUGAGCCUUAUAGAUGCUGUAGUUGAAUAAGAAUAUGUUCGGCAGUCUAGCUUUGAUGGUCUACCACUAGAUGCUGAUGCAUAGUCGGAAGGUCGACUAUGAAUCAGAGAGAGCAGGUCCGAUUGUCCCAACAGUUGCCCCCUACUCCCAAAUCUAAGGUAGUUUGAUACAUGGCUUGACACGUUGGACAAAAGGAGUCACCAUGUGUCAUUUCAAACCCCAAUUUUAUGAUCAUUUCGAUUGUAGAUAUUAAUGAUCUC